rnacentral:rRNA from 1 species
GACGAACGCUGGCGGCGUGCUUAUCACAUGCAAGUCGAACGGAAAGGCCCUGCUUGCAGGGUACUCGAGUGGCGAACGGGUGAGUAACACGUGGGUGAUCUGCCCUGCACUUCGGGAUAAGCCUGGGAAACUGGGUCUAAUACCGGAUAGGAGCCAUUUUUAGUGUGAUGGUUGGAAAGUUUUUUCGGUGUAGGAUGAGCUCGCGGCCUAUCAGCUUGUUGGUGGGGUAAUGGCCUACCAAGGCGGCGACGGGUAGCCGGCCUGAGAGGGCGGACGGCCACAUUGGGACUGAGAUACGGCCCAGACUCCUACGGGAGGCAGCAGUGGGGAAUAUUGCACAAUGGGCGCAAGCCUGAUGCAGCGACGCCGCGUGGGGGAUGACGGCCUUCGGGUUGUAAACUCCUUUCGCUAGGGACGAAGCUUUUUGUGACGGUACCUAGAUAAGAAGCACCGGCUAACUACGUG